GUCCACGCCGUAAACGUUGGGCACUAGGUGUGGGGCUCUAUCGACGGGUUCCGUGCCGUAGCUAACGCAUUAAGUGCCCCGCCUGGGGAGUACGGCCGCAAGGCUAAAACUCAAAGGAAUUGACGGGGCCCGCACAAGCGGCGGAGCAUGUGGCUUAAUUCGAUGCAACGCGAAGAACCUUACCUGGGUUGAACUAUGUGGGAAAAGCCGUAGAGAUACGGUGUCCUUCGGGGCCCACGAUAGGUGGUGCAUGGCUGUCGU
rnacentral:rRNA from 1 species